CUUUGUUGGGCAGCACAGUACAGGAUGGGAGGACAUCAGAACUGCGCACAACAUUUUUCCAGACCUGUAAAACCUAAGGAUUAUACAAGCUGCUGAUAACACCCUGAUGGACCAGAAAGAAAAUGGCAUAAAGAAGGAGUCUCGGGAGCAGCCAUAGGAGAGAAGAGCGGGUACACAGGCAGAUCGAGUAGCCAUACAGCUGCUGUCUCUACGUCCUGCUGGCAAAAGCUGUCAGCUUUGGCAUGCAGUUUUUUCAUCUUUCUGUGCGUUACGAGUUCCUCUGAUGAGACUGGACUGCCUGGGGCACUGGUGGCUAACCUGUUGUUUCUAAAUUGCUGGUUCAAAUAUAGCCUAGGAAAUUAAAGUCGUGGCCUGUGUGAAAUGAGCUGGUAGUACCCGUCAAUUACCUGGCGGGGAGGCCAUCCCAGAUGGCUCAAAUCAUGGCCUUGCUGACAGCCAAGAAGGGAAGCAAAGGAGCAAAUGUUUUCAUAGAAUGAGCCGCAAUCUCCUCCCCAGGGACAGAGCCUUGGGUUUGAAGCAUAAAAUGGAAAUUUUGGGGCUCAUGGAUUAUUCCUUCUAUUUCUAAAAGUUAGU